GAGUUUGAUCCUGGCUCAGAAUGAACGCUGGCGGCGUGCCUAACACAUGCAAGUCGAAUGUGCCGCAAGGUGCAUGGCAGACGGGUGAGUAACGCGUAGGGAAUCUACCUUUUAGUGGGGAAUAACGCUCCGAAAGGAGUGGUAAUACCACAUGAGACCGUAGUCUGGGAUGACUACGGUGAAACCUGGGGACCGCAAGGCCUGGGGCUAAAAGAGGAUCCUGCGUCUGAUUAGCUAGUUGGCGGGGUAAUGGCCCACCAAGGCGACGAUCAGUAGCCGGCCUGAGAGGGUGAUCGGCCACACUGGACUGAGACACGGUCCAGACUCCUACGGGAGGCAGCAGUGGGGAAUUUUGCGCAAUGGACGAAAGUCUGACGCAGCAACGCCGCGUGGGUGAUGAAGGUCUUCGGACUGUAAAACCCUGUCGUCAGGGACGAAGGUUGGGGGGUUAAUAGCCCUUUAGCUUGACGGUACCUGGAGAGGAAGCCCCGGCUAACUCUGUGCCAGCAGCCGCGGUAAUACAGAGGGGGCAAGCGUUAUUCGGAAUUAUUGGGCGUAAAGGGCGCGUAGGCGGUUUUUUAAGUCAGAUGUGUAAUCCCCGAGCUCAACCUGGGAACUGCAUCCAAAACUGGCGAGCUAGAGUAUGGCAGAGGGUGGUGGAAUUUCCUGUGUAGCGGUGAAAUGCGUAGAUAUAGGAAGGAACACCAGUGGCGAAGGCGACCACCUGGGCUAAUACUGACACUGAGGUGCGAAAGCGUGGGGAGCAAACAGGAUUAGAUACCCUGGUAGUCC
rnacentral:rRNA from 1 species